GGUUAAGUUAUUAAGGGCAUACGGUGGAUGCCUUGGCACGUAAAGGCGAUGAAGGACGCGACUACCAGCGAUAUUCCUCGGUUAGGCGGAAGUAGCCUGAGAUCCGAGGGUUUCCGAAUGGGGCAACCCUGUUCCGGUAAUGCGGAGCAAUCCAUAUCUGAAUCCAUAGGAUAUGUGAAGCGAACCUGGGGAACUGAAACAUCUAAGUACCCAGAGGAAGAGAAAACAAAAGUGAUUUUCCGAGUAGUGGCGAGCGAAAGGGAAACAGCCUAAACCAUUCAACAUGUUAAAGGAUGCAACCGUUGUGUUGUUGGUGUUGUGGGGCUUGUUCAGACUGAAUUGCAGAUAAGUCGAAGAGUAAAAAACUGUUUUAUUAACCGAAUGUUCUGGAAAGUUCAACUAUAAAAGGUGAUAGUCCUGUAGGUGAAAAUAAAACAGCUCUUUGGAAUAAGUUCCCGAGUACCGCGAAAUAAGUGGAAGUUUGUGGGAAACUGCCAGAACCAUCUGGUAAGGCUAAAUACUAAUACGUGACCGAUAGUGAAGAAGUACCGUGAGGGAAAGGUGAAAAGUACUCCUAACAGGAGAGUGAAAUAGUACCUGAAACCGUAUGCUUACAAGCAGUUGGAGUCUCGAUUUAUCGGGAUGACAGCGUGCCUUUUGGAUAAUGAGCCUACGAGUUACUCUUACGUUGCAAGGUUAAUUCCCUUAGGGAAGUAGCCGUAGCGAAAGCAAGUCUGAAAUGGGCGUUAAGUAACGUGAGGUAGACGCGAAACCGUGUGAUCUACCCUUGUCCAGGAUGAAGUGAGGGUAAAACCUCAUGGAGGUCCGAACCAGUACGGGUUGAAAACCGUUUGGAUGAGGUGAGGGUAGGGGUGAAAGGCCAAUCAAACUCGGAGAUAGCUCGUACUCCUCGAAAUAGCUUUAGGGCUAGCCUCGAGUUAAAGUUUGCCGGAGGUAGAGCACUGAUUGGGCUAGGGCUGUCACAACGGUACCAAACCCAGACAAACUCCGAAUUCCGGACAAAUGUUUCUCGGGAGUCAGGCAGUGGGGGAUAAGCUUCAUUGCCAAGAGGGGAACAACCCAGACCACCAUCUAAGGCCCCUAAACGAUAGUUAACAGAGAAAGGAUGUUGAGUUGCUCAGACAACUAGGAUGUUGGCUUAGAAGCAGCCAUUCAUUUAAAGAGUGCGUAAUAGCUCACUAGUCAAGCGACUCAGCGCCGACAAUUUGCGGGACUAAAACUAUCUGCCGAAGGUGUGGACUCAGUAAUGAGUGGUAGAGGAGCAUUCUAUAUGCACCGAAGGUGUAUCGCGAGAUAUGCUGGAGCGUAUAGAAAAGCAAAUGUAGGCAUAAGUAACGAUAAUGCAGAUGAAAAAUCUGCACGCCGAAAGUCUAAGGUUUCCUGAGCAAUGUUAAUCAUCUCAGGGUUAGUCGGACCCUAAGCCGAGGCUGAAAGGCGUAGGCGAUGGAAAACAGGUCAACAUUCCUGUACCUGGUAAAAUUCGUUUGACUAUAAGGAGGGACGCAGAAGUGAAGGUAAGCCGCCUGUCGGAUUAGGUGGUCUAAGCGUGUAGGUUGAAAGAGUAGGCAAAUCCGCUCUUUCUUAAGACCGAGGCGCGAACGGGAGUCCUUUGGACACAAACUUACCGUAAUCAUACUGCCAAGAAAAUCUUCGUAUGGGAGAGUUUUAUCAGUCCGUACCGCAAACCGACACAGGUAGACGGGAUGAGUAUUCUAAGGCGCUCGAGUGAUUCGUGGUUAAGGAACUCGGCAAAUUAACCCCGUAACUUCGGGAGAAGGGGUGCCUCAAGUAAGUGAAAUUAAUUCUAGUGGAGCUGAAAGAGGCCGCAGUGAAAAGGCCCAGGCGACUGUUUAACAAAAACACAUGUCUCUGCGAAGUCAAUCAAGACGAUGUAUAGGGACUGACACCUGCCCGGUGCUGGAAGGUUAAGAGGAGGGGUUAGCGCAAGCGAAGCUCUGAAUCGAAGCCCCAGUAAACGGCGGCCGUAACUAUAACGGUCCUAAGGUAGCGAAAUUCCUUGUCGGGUAA
rnacentral:rRNA from 1 species